UGGUUUCCGUGGUGAUGCUGCAGCCCCUCCUGAGCCCCUCGCCUCUGUGGCCCCGUCAAUGGGGACGGGCUGGCCCCUCACCGCCGGUACCCCCAGGCUCGGGGUAGCCUCUGGUAUCCCAGCGGGUGCGCUGGCGCCAGGGGCGCUGGGUGGGCGGGGGAAACACCCGCAGGGAGCUGCCAAGGGGAUGAGCCCGGCACUGCCAGGGAUGCCCAGUGCCAGGGUGCGGGGGUGCCCAGGACAAUGGAGAGAACCCUUCCCUGUGUAUCAUCAGUCUGGAGUUACAGAGAUCCAAAGCUGAAUGUCGGAAAACUGAGAGAACAUCACUGGUUUCAGCUCAUCCCUCAGUGUAAUCUGCAGUCACAGAACCACUGUUUUCUUUUGUCAGUCUGGAAACAAAGAUCAUUUCACAAGGCAGUCCAAGAGUGUCUAGCAGAAAUAUUCUGGAAACCUCUGAUGGGAUGAAGAAGGAAUAAAGUGAACAAUAGGAUUGUAUCAACGUGUAAGAAAACACGGGGGGAAGACCCCACAAAAAUUGUACUUUUCCAGGCUGUAAGUAAGGGAAGAUGGAGGGGAAAAUGAUGAUGAAAUACUGAAAUGACAAUCAAAAGGAAGAAGAUGCAGUCUGACCUGGGGCUCACUGGGGGACAUGCAUGUCUG